UACGUAGGAGGCAAGCGUUGUCCGGAAUUACUGGGCGUAAAGCGCGUGUAGGUGGUGGGACAAGUCUGCUGUGAAAGCGCCUGGCUUAACCGGGCGAGGUCGGCGGAAACUGUCCGACUAGAGGACGGUAGAGGGGGGUGGAAUUCCCGGUGUAGUGGUGAAAUGCGUAGAGAUCGGGAGGAACACCUGUGGCGAAGGCGGCCCCCUGGGCCGGCCCUGACGCUGAGGCGCGAAAGCGUGGGGAGCAAACAGG
rnacentral:rRNA from 1 species